CCCGACUGCUAUUUGGGUGAGGAUAAGCCAUGCGAGUUGAAUGGGAAACCUAAAGUUCCCAUGGCAAACUGCUCAGUAAUACAUGAUCAACUUACCCUAUAGAGAAAAAUAACCUCGGGAAACUGAGGAUAAUGUUUCAUAGUUGAAUUGGCUUGGAAAAGUUUUUCGACGAAAGGGGUAAAAAAAAUGGUUCUUAUCCGCUAUAGGAUAGGAUCGUGUUCGAUUAUGGUUGUUGGUGAGGUAAUGGCUCACCAAGCCGAUAAUCGAUAGGGGCCGUGAGAGCGGGAGCCCCGAGAUGGGUACCGAGACAACGACCCAGGCCUUACGAGGCGCAGCAGGCGCGAAACCUCCGUAAUACACGAAAGUGUGACGGGGUUACCCAAAGUGUUCAAUUUUGAACUGUGGUAGGUGAGUAAUGUUCCCUACUAGAAAGGAGAGGGCAAGGCUGGUGCCAGCCGCCGCGGUAAAACCAGCUCUUCAAGUGGUUGGGAUAAUUAUUGGGCUUAAAGUGUCCGUAGCCGGUUUAGUAAGUUCCUGGUAAAAUCGGGUAGCUUAACUAUCUAUAUGCUAGGAAUACUACUAUACUAGAGGGCGGGAGAGGUCUGAGGUACUACAGGGGCAGGGGUGAAAUCUUAUAAUCCUUGUUGGACCACCAGUGGCGAAGGCGUCAGACUGGAACGCGCCUGACGGUGAGGGACGAGAGCCAGGGGAGCGAACCGGAUUAGAUACCCGGGUAGUCCUGGCCGUAAACGAUGCAUACUAGGUGAUGGCACGGCCAUGAGCCGUGUCAGUGCCGUAGGGAAACCGUUAAGUGUGCCGCCUGGGAAGUACGGUCGCAAGGCUAAAACUUAA
rnacentral:rRNA from 1 species